rnacentral:rRNA from 1 species
GACGAACGCUGGCGGCGUGCUUAACACAUGCAAGUCGAACGGUAAGGCCCUUCGGGGUACACGAGUGGCGAACGGGUGAGUAACACGUGGGUAAUCUGCCCUGCACAUCGGGAUAAGCCUGGGAAACUGGGUCUAAUACCGAAUAGGACCACAGGACACAUUUCCUGUGGUGGAAAGCUUUUGCGGUGUGGGAUGGGCCCGCGUCCUAUCAGCUUGUUGGUGGGGUGAUGGCCUACCAAGGCGACGACGGGUAGCCGGCCUGAGAGGGUGUCCGGCCACACUGGGACUGAGAUACGGCCCAGACUACUACGGGAGGCAGAAGUGGGGAAUAUUGCAGAAUGGGCGAAAGACUGAUGCAGCGACGCCGCGUGGGGGAUGACGGCCUUCGGGUUGUAAACCUCUUUCACAAUCGACGAAGGUCCGGGUUUUCUCGGGCUGACGGUAGGUGGAGAAGAAGCACCGGCCAACUACGUG